GACGAACGCUGGCGGCGUGCCUAAUACAUGCAAGUCGAACGCUUUUUCUUUCACCGGAGCUUGCUCCACCGAAAGAAAAAGAGUGGCGAACGGGUGAGUAACACGUGGGUAACCUGCCCAUCAGAAGGGGAUAACACUUGGAAACAGGUGCUAAUACCGUAUAACACUAUUUUCCGCAUGGAAGAAAGUUGAAAGGCGCUUUUGCGUCACUGAUGGAUGGACCCGCGGUGCAUUAGCUAGUUGGUGAGGUAACGGCUCACCAAGGCAACGAUGCAUAGCCGACCUGAGAGGGUGAUCGGCCACACUGGAACUGAGACACGGCCCAGACUCCUACGGGAGGCAGCAGUAGGGAAUCUUCGGCAAUGGACGAAAGUCUGACCGAGCAACGCCGCGUGAGUGAAGAAGGUUUUCGGAUCGUAAAACUCUGUUGUUAGAGAAGAACAAGGAUGAGAGUAAAAUGUUCAUCCCUUGACGGA
rnacentral:rRNA from 1 species